rnacentral:rRNA from 1 species
CAGCAGUAGCCGCGGGAAUACGAAGGGUGCAAGCGUUACUCGGAAUUACUGGGCGUAAAGCGCACGCAGGCGGUCUGACAAGUCAGAUGUGAAAUCCCCGGGCUUAACCUGGGAACUGCAUUUGAAACUGUCAGGCUGGAGUCUUGUAGAGGGGGGUGGAAUUCCAGGUGUAGCGGUGAAAUGCGUAGAGAUCUGGAGGAAUACCGGUGGCGAAGGCGGCCCCCUGGACAAAGGCUGACGCUCAGGUGCGAAAGCGUGGGGAGCAAACAGGAUUAGAUACCCCAGUAGUCCCUGUCUCUUAUAC